GCCUGGCUGGCUCAGUCCGUUGAGCAUGUGACUGCUGAUCUCAGGUUCAUGAGUUCGAGCCCCAUGCCGGGUA
rnacentral:tRNA from 1 species